rnacentral:rRNA from 1 species
GGCCAGACUCCUACGGGAGGCAGCAGUGAGGAAUAUUGGUCAAUGGUCGGGAGACUGAACCAGCCAAGCCGCGUGAGGGAGGAAGGUACAGAGUAUCGUAAACCUCUUUUGUCAGGGGACAAAGACUGGGACGCGUCCCCGGAUGAGUGUACCUGAAGAAAAAGCAUCGGCUAACUCCGUGCCAGCAGCCGCGGUAAUACGGAGGAUGCGAGCGUUAUCCGGAUUUAUUGGGUUUAAAGGGUGCGCAGGCGGGAAGACAAGGGCGGGGGUAAACGCCGGGGCCCCACCCCGGCCGAGCCGUUGAAACUGGCUGUCUUGAGAUGUCGAGAGGUAUGCGGAAUGCGCAGUGUAGCGGUGAAAUGCUUAGAUAUUGCGCAGAACUCCGAUUGCGAAGGCAGCAUACCGGCGGCGAUCUGACGCUGAGGCACGAAAGCGUGGGUAUCGAACAGGAUUAGAUACCCGAGUA